UAUAGUCAGGUGAAAAAACAAAGUCCAUCUACUCAGCAAUGGCUCAACCUUGGAAGGUGCAGGAAAAGUAUUAAAUCAAUGAUUGUUAACCUCUCUGGUCUGAAACAGCAGUUCCUAAACUCAUUUUGCCCAGGGACUAUUGACAUGACAGCAGGAGUGUGCUGGGGCUCGCUACAGCCGUGCGUCUCAGUUGAUUUGCCACAGGACAUGGCGUGUGGCUUUGCAGGCAGGACCACGUACCACUCUGAAGGAGUCUCUGUGCCACAGCAUGUGCCAAAGGGCUGGCCUACAGCAAGAUCCCCCUUGAAGACUAUUGGUAAUAGUCUUGUAAAUAGAGCGUGACCCUCUGGGAAUGUCCAUCUGGCUCCACUCAGGCACAGCAAGUCCCACAGCCACUUUCAGAGGAUGCGUUGCUUGGACCGACAGCCCUUUCUGAGAAGUGGAAUGAAUUACCCAUGGCAAAGCAUCACACAAGCCUGCUUAUAGCUACUCCUAAUAUCUCAGCACAACACUAAACUGUGCCUUGGAGAUGGUCAGGCUUUUUUGUUAUUCCGCAUACACCUGGCAGCAGCAGUUGCCACCCUGCAAGCUGGGCACCUACCAAAUCCAUGGUAGGGAUCCUGCUGGGAUUAUUGCGCCCCUCUGCUCCCUCCCUCCGUCUUGCACACACCGGUUUGAGUUUGCAAAUCGUGGGUGCCAGCUCUGAGGAGUGCCAUGCUGUUUGCAGUUGUUUAGUGCCCGUAGACAGAGGCAAAGGUGGGGAUGCAGUUGCUGAGGCCCGGGGAUGCAGAGCAGCACUGUGCUUGUUCUGCAAAGCGGAUCUCCCCUGAUCGGGACCAGGAAGCCGACGGGGUUGGAAAAAAGAGUUAAUCUUCAUUCAUGCUUUUGUGUUGUCUCCAUAUUCCAAGCGCACUUCAUCACUAAAAUAAUCAAUGCCAUCCAAUUUAAAAGUCAUUAAGCUGAGGAAAUUGCCAAGGAUUUUUCCGUUCCCCACCUCAUCGAGCCUUUUCACCUGGAAGCGUGAAAUCUGCCCGUGGGAGAUCUCCAUUCUGCCAGGCCUGGUGGGAACCCACCCUGGAGCCCAGGAUCCGGCCCCCAGCACGCACUGGUGGGUGCUGGGGAGGUGAGAGGGCUGGCUGUGGGUUUUUUCUGGAGGGUGGGGAUUCUGGGGGGCUGAGCUAGCCCUCAGCGAGCAUGGUUAGCAUGAGGUACUGUGCAAAAGAUACAGGGUAUCUCCAGUCCCAAACUGGGCUGUGUGUUACUUCCCCAGUUACCUGUCUGCUUCAAAACAAAGCCACAACUAGUGAGAUUUAAAGACUGCUGAGAUGUCCAGAAUCCCUCCCUGCCUCCCUCUGCUCAGUGCCUGUUUGAACGGGCAGCUACAUUCUGCCUGGAAACCUUCCCUCUGCCAAGCGGGCUCUAUUUUUCUGGAAGGAAGCCUUAAAUCCUGCAAUUCCUGAAUUUUUCAGAUUUUGACAUAAGAGGGUCUCUUUUAGCUACAUCUCCCUGGAAGGAGGAAUGAAAACACACUGCAAGGGGCAUUAAUUUUAUUAAUUUUCUUGGUAGUGCUACCCACAGGCUGAAAAAUCCUGAGUUACCCCUCAGCUCGCGUGCCACAUGCCCUUAGCUAAGCAUAAGCCCGUUGCUUCUGAUUCUUCUCAGCGGAAAGGAGCUUCAUCGCUUGUCUCUAGAGGCAGGGCUUCCAGAUUGCAAACUCUCAAAACACACUUCCUAGCUGUCUGAUUUUGAAACCUUGGCUUCACGUUGCUGAGCUUUUCUGGCUCUACGACAACAAAACUUCUGGAAUCGGAGAUUUUAAUGUGAACACUCGAUAACCGGCUCAGGUUUUCUGAAAAGCAACUAGCAAAACCACACAUGCCUGACAGCGACAGCUUGAGGGACGGUGCCUCCUCCCCACCUUCCCCUCCGAGACCCUUCGCCGGAGAUUUUUUGGAGGGUCAGGUUGCUGAAGUUAUCCGAGAUUUCUUCUCUCCCGGUAUGGAAAGGUGGUUUCCAUCUGCACUAAUGUAGGUUUUUCCUGUAGAGCAUGAAUUUAAGCCUAUUGCCUGAGCCAUUUGCAGAGUAACAAGGGAGUCUGUGCCAUGGCCCGGGCUCUGUCCUGCAGGUGGGUUGGCAGCAGCAGGUCUCCCUUAUUAUGGUGGGACCUGCUGGGUUGCCCAGGACAUCUUUCUGUCCACCCCAGGAAGAGCAGGAUCGACCUCAGUUGCCUUGCAUAAAUUUUCUAAGGCAGACAGGCUAAAGGACACACUUUUAAUAAACUGAAGUUGCAAAAUAAUUUACUGAACAUUUUCUCAUAGCUGUUUAUUUCGCCAUCAGCCCGUGACACCAUCUUAAUGGCACAAUGAAUUAUAGCUGCUGGGGGACAAGGUAACGUGUUAAUAGCCCUCUUCCACAAGCAAAGCUACGUUUCUAAAAGGCACUUUUUAGCUAGUAUAAUGUUCUGUGUCUGAAAAGAAACAAAAGCAAGUUGUUUUAUUGUUUUCUCAUUGAAAAGAGACUGCAGCCUACAGCUCACAAACAACAUGGCAUAAAACCAGAACGUACAGCUCCGCGGGCAGAAAUACCUCAACUCCAAAUAGCCGCAUGAUAUAGGGAAAAAGAAACUAUGCCUUCUUACUCCGAUGCAAAACCAGAGAGAAGCAUUUGGAGUGCUCUUUAACACAUCAGUGUCUGUAAUUAUGGAAGUUUUACUCUCUGCAUGCCCUAAAAAUCUAUUGAAGUCAAGGAGAGGGCAGGAAACGCAGCUGCAAGCUCAACCUAGGGAGAAGAGCUGGGCGAUUACGGUGCUGAACACAGCCUCAGAGGUCUGCUCAACCUUUAUCUUGGACUUUUAGUAGGACCUUGGGGAAAAUCACCUGCAAAUGUUCUGCUGCUGCUGUUUCCAAGCUGCAAAACAAGACUAAUGCAUUUACCUCUCACCCUUUGAUCUGACUGGGAAGCUCUUCACAGCAAGGGAUCGUGUUUUGCCGGUGCAUUUGCUCAUCACCCAGCGCAUCGCAGCUCAAACUUCAGCUGAGCCUUGAACACACUGAUAAGGUACAGUUAAUGAUAACACUACUCCUGCUUUCCUUUAGCUAGACAGCAGCACUGCUCUCCCUGUUAGGUUCCUGUUUACCUACAGCUCCAAAUAGCCACAUAUUUUGGCGUAAUCAAUGAGGGUAUGUUCUAAGUGCUUGUUUGAAGAUUCCCACUGACAAAUCACAAAAUUUACUGUUGCACUAGAGAGUCCUUGGCAGAUGUUGCCCAUUUCCACGUGCCCGCAGCCGUAGGUGAGCUGCCUGGCAGUGGCGGCUGCAUCCCUCCCAACAUGAGCUUUGUGUUAUCGCUUCUCCCCGUUUUCUUUCCACGCUGCCCGAUUGUGCUCGGCUGUGACAGCAACAUCCCGGCCGGCAACACCCCACCCUUCCCAUGGCGCUGGCACGAGCUCCCCACGGCUGGACCACAAAGCCUGUAAGCCGCUGUGAAGGAGGGGAAAGGGAUGCGGUGCCUUUUCCGUGGGAUGAUUUCAAGUUUUAGGAAGACACCAGAAUGUGACACAAGGAUGUAAAGGCUCUGCCCUGGGCAGGGCAGUUUUUGUGAGAAUCGUUGGGGAUGAUACAAUGAAAACCACCUGCAAUGUGGGGAAGACAAAGGCUUGCGGCUCCUCCUGCUCAGCCUCUGCACAGCAGGAUUCCUGAUGCCCUCGUUUAUGUUUAAAACUAUGAAGGAGAGAGCAUAAUCCUGUCUCAUUCAUGGUCUGUUGUGAACUGAUAUUUUGGAUACCGGCUCUAAAUUAGGUUUUAAAAAUAGACCAGUGGUCUUUUUUUUUUUUUUCUUGUUAUAAACAGAAAUUAUUAUCUCAUGGAAACAUUUAACCUCAAAUGGAACCUCAUCUAAUUUUUACUGUGUUUAUUAUAGCCUGUGAAAUAUGAAUGAGCAUCACUGAUAUAACUCUAUAUGAUUAUUGAGCUGUGAUGGCCCAGCUGGGAAAGACUCAGCUGUUUGGAUAAAAAACCAAAAGUUCUGAUAUCGUGCUGGUCUUUAUUUGAAUGACCCCAACCUCUGAGGCAGACAAUAUUGGCUCAGAAAGCUCUGGGAAUUGUCACUUUGCAUCGAAUUUUAUUAUUUCUGACCCUGGUCAUGCCCUCCAUCAGGAAACACAGGAGUCAAUGGGGAAAUGCAUAUCAGAUUGAAAAGUUACUAAUUUACUUGGAAAAAAAAAAGUGAAUUAAAACCCAUUAGUUUUAUGCUGCUAUUUGGGUUUUUUUCUGUUGAUUAAAAAUGUCUGUAAUGCAGAACAUUAGUAUUCAUUUUUCCCAUUUGGAUGCAAGCCUAAAUAAUAUAUGCAACUAUAUAACAUAUAAUUAAGAAAAUGUAAUAAAUAUAAUAUAUAUAAAAUAUACACAACAUAUAUAACAAAACAGUGAUGGGAAAAUUUUGUCUGAUUCUACAGAAAGGUAUGUUUUGGUUUUUUUUAACUUGCCAACACCAAUUUAAAAUCAAUAUAAGAGUUUCAGGAAAUUUUACCAAUGCUGCAAACAGCUCCUGAAAACCACUGAGAUUUAUUUAGGUUGGGGAAUUCAAGGAAUAUCAUUUUGCCUCUGAGUCUGUACAACUUCUGGGACACUGGCAUCACAUUUCAUAGCUGUUUUUUCCAGACAUUGUUCUAAUAAUCCUAAUGAUGGCUGUUAAUGCCAUGUGAGGACUGUACACAGGUAUCAGCAGCAAAGUUUUUAAGACUCCUCAUUUAC